CCCAGAAUUACCCGCCUCCGACUCUGCUGCUGCUGGGAUCCUCCCGCACCAGGCUGCUCUGGAAAGUUUCCGUGCAAUCAUACCCCCUUCCCAGCUAUAGAGGAUUACCUAGGUGUUGAGGGAAAGCUAAGAGAAUGAAGGCUCUAAGUCCCCAGUGGAAGCAUGAUAUGGCAAUGCAGUGCUGGUGCUGAAUUGUUCUCUCUGAUGGCUCUAUGGGAGUGGAUAGCACCGAGUCUUCAUUGCUGGGUUUUAGCAGUUGCUGCUGUUUCCGAUCAGCAUGCCACAAGCCCCUUCGACUGGCUUCUCUCUGAUAAGGGACCCUUCCAUCGCUCACAGGAAUACACAGAUUUUGUGGACAGAAGUCGACAGGGAUUUAGCACAAGAUACAAGAUUUACAGGUAAUGCAUAGUGCCAGAGAUGAAGGCCUUUAUCCUGCACCAUGGUUUGACGUGAAUUUGAAGGGAUCAAGGUCACAUACUGCAGGACCAUGAAAGAUACAGAAUGAUUAAAAUCAAGAUAAUAGGACAGUGGACUGGAAAAGCACGUAUUAAAGAGAACAACAAAAAAUAUUAAGGUGAGGAUUACUUGCAACUUGUUGGAAACGUCAUCAUUUCUCAGCUACUGAGUAAAACAAUAUUGUGUCACUUGUUUUAUCCCUGUCAUUUUUCAUGUUAUGAGACAGACUGAUUUUCAAGUUUAAUUUCACCAGAACAUACAUGGCAAUUUCUUUCCAUAAUGUCCAGUAGCCUUAUUUUUUCAGUUGUUAAAUUAUAUAACCUGUUUUUAUUUAAAUACAUGGAUUCCAACUUUUAGACUAAACCAAGAAAAAAUGUAUCACUGUAUGACUCUAUGCUAGCAUUUGUAUUUUCCCCGUAUCUAUUUGUAUGUCAAUGAGGCAAAAAUCAACUGCUUUGUAUCCACACCUCCUGGUCACUAUAAACAAGUGUUCAUCUGAUCAUGAAUCUGCUCUAAAUUGUAGAGAUGAAGGCAAAGAUUGGCACUGAGGAACACACUUAUUAACUGAGCCCAAUUUUUUAUGAGAGGUCUUAACAAUAUUUUUCUUAAACAUAAAAGUUACACUUUGGAUUAUCUCCCUAUCUAGCUUUCUGAGCAGAAAACAACCAUGUGAUAAAAAACAAUGGAUGCAUAAACUAUGGGAAAGUAGCAGUAGAAAAAUCUGCUGUCAUCCAUAUUUUAAUCUAUACAAUAUAGAACAGUUAUGUCCAUAGGCAAACAAGCCGAUUCUGUAGUGUGCUUACCUCCUCAAGGAGAGGAGCUUUCAACAUUACAAUAAAGAGCUGAGUCAUAUAUAUGUAAUAAAGUUUUAUAUGUAUUACAUGUAAUAAUGUUUUAAUCAGGUAUUGCAGAACACUAGAUAAUUGCAACUGAUGUUACCUACAUUGUUAUAAAAUGGGAAUGGUGGGCUUGUUAUGUUGAUUAUGUGGCAGUGUGGUAUUCCCUAUAAUUCUUUGAAGGAAAUAUCCUGCUGCAGGAAAUUUAACAAUUGCCACAGUUUUUGGUGGCAUUCAUUGCCACUGAUCUAUGAAGAGAAAUGCCAGGAAAGCAGCUGGAUGGCUUCUGAAGACAUCUAAAUUAGUGGGAAUGCUGUGUCAGUAUUUUAUGGAAGGUGGCUCCUCUAGUUAAUAUCAGUAAAUAUUUUGACAAGGAAAACCAAGUUUAUAAUUUGUUAUUUAAUACACAAUGGGAGUACUAUGCCUCUUAUGUAAAUCAGCUACCCAGACAAAGGGAUUUAAAUCCAAACAGAAUGAGAUGAGAGGUUAACAGGAUGGAAAGAGUGAUUAUGAAAUUAUGCAAAGAACCUAUAUUUUAUCAGAAGAGGUAAUUUCUACAGAGAUAGGGAAGUAUUCAUGCUAUCAAAUAAGGUCCUGAGGAAAUCUCCUCAGGGAUACUGUGUAGUUUUGUUCAAGCAAAAUGAUUUAAAAUCUGAAACAGAUGUGAAAAAUCUGGAUCAAAAAGAGCCUAAUUUUUUUUUUUUUAAGGCAGAAAUGUUUUCAUGUUUAGGCAAAAAAAAAAAAAGCUGAAAGAGGAUAUAAUUCCUGUCAAUAUAUAAAUACACGUAUCAUAAAGUGAGAUGAACUAUUUAAACCAAAAGCCAUCACUGUCAUAAACCCAAAUUGGUAUACACUGGCUAUGAAUAAAUUUAGGCUGGCUAUUUAAAGUUUUCUAAUAAUUAGAGUAAAAUAGUUCUGGGACAUAUUAAGUUACAGAACAUUACCGAUCUUAUGAAUAGGGGGAAAAGGGUCAUAAGAUGUGUUGCUUAUAACAGUGGACUAGAUUUUAGUAUCCAUUGAUAUCUCUUCGAGGUAAGUAUCCUUAACAAGUGUAGAACACUAUUUUGUAAAAGAAAAAAAAAAAUCUCCUAAAGUGCUGAGUAGCUCUGUGCAGCAUGAUAUUUGUGUGGCUUAAGAAGUGUUCCUUUAAAGGUUGUUU